AACGAACGCUGGCGGCAUGCCUAACACAUGCAAGUCGAACGAGACCUUCGGGUCUAGUGGCGCACGGGUGCGUAACGCGUGGGAACCUGCCCUUAGGUUCGGAAUAACUCCCCGAAAGGGGUGCUAAUACCGGAUAAUGUCUUCGGACCAAAGAUUUAUCGCCUUUGGAUGGGCCCGCGUUGGAUUAGCUAGUUGGUAGGGUAAAAGCCUACCAAGGCGACGAUCCAUAGCUGGUCUGAGAGGAUGAGCAGCCACACUGGGACUGAGACACGGCCCAGACUCCUACGGGAAGCAGCAGUGGGGAAUAUUGGACAAUGGGCGAAAGCCUGAACCAGCAAUGCCGCGUGAGUGAUGAAGGCCUUAGGGUUGUAAAGCUCUUUUACCCGGGAUGAUAAUGACAGUACCGGGAGAAUAAGCUCCGGCUAACUCCGUG
rnacentral:rRNA from 1 species